UACGGAGGGUGCAAGCGUUAUCCGGAAUCACUGGGUUUAAAGGGUGCGUAGGCGGCUUGGUAAGUCAGAGGUGAAAGCUCACGGCUCAACCGUGGAAUUGCCUUUGAUACUGCGAGGCUUGAAUGGGCGCGAGGCAGGCGGAAUGUGGCAUGUAGCGGUGAAAUGCUUAGAUAUGCCAUAGAACACCGAUUGCGAAGGCAGCCUGCCAGAGCUCAAUUGACGCUGAGGCACGAAAGCGUGGGGAGCGAACAGG
rnacentral:rRNA from 1 species